UAGCACCAUCAAAUCAGCAUGUAACAAACAUACUAUAGAUUAUCAAUAGCAGACAACUACAAUUCAGUUAGGCCAAGAACACCAAAUCAGGAAUGAAUAGCAUAACACGGAAUGUAAAAAAAAAUUGUUGUGCCGUAGUGUUACCAAUUUUCAUGUAAAUUUGAAUCUAGUCGGCACUUCCCCUCUGCAAGCGGCAUCAUAGUCUUCAGCAAGGUAUGGUGCAACUUCCUUGUGAGGGGAUAUGUACUUGUCCACGAAUACUUUCUCCAUCACAAUGACUGCAGAAUAGUAGCUCCGGUUGUGAUCCAGCAGUCCAUUUUCCUUGAGAAACUUUACAACAUAGUACCGGGGUAUGAUCCGGCCCUCCAGGCUGUAUGUGAGCAAUGCCGGAUGAUGAGCAAUGUAUGCUGGUUCAAACCCCACCUUGGAUAUUAGGAACUCUGACUUGCUCUCCAGCAUAUGGUUAGACCUCAUCAGCAGAGGCGGAAGCGUGGACAAAGCAAUGCGCACCUCGACAUCAGACCACCUGAACAUCUUCUUCAAGUGCUCCACUUUGGCGGCGAUCUUCUCAUUGCUGAGGAAUGCAACAGCCUGCAGCGCGUGCCUGAACAUCCGAGAGCCACAGGGCACACCAAUAUCUUGGGCGCGUGCUGCCAUUGCCCGGACGCACUCUAUGUUGGAGCCAAGCAGCAUUAGCUGAGCCAUGCACAACUUGGCAAUGUCACAGUCACCUAGCCCGCAGGAACGCAGGAAGGCAACAUUGGGCUUGACCACUGUCUCAAGGUCGGCUGAGAGAAAGCAUGAGCCGCGCCUGAGAGCAGGGAGGAGGUUCUCAAAGGAGCCGAAGAGGUGCAGGAAGUAUUGCAGAUUUGAGACGAAGGAUCUACAUCGGAACUUGUCACGGGAGAGCGAGACGAGGUGCGCGAUGUCAGAACGUGAGAGGCCGAGGCCGGUGAGCCCAGCGACGACGGGGGCCAGGGUUCUCUCCACUUUGGCGCAGAGGAACUGCGGGUCCUUGGCGACGAGGGCGGCGACGUCGGCGCUGGAGAGGCCGAGGCCGGCGAGGAUGGCGAGGACGGCGUCGGGAUUGGAGGGGGACUUGAGGUGGGAGAGCUUGGCGGAGGCCUUGAGGGCCUGGGGUCGGGUGAGGCCGCAGGUGGCGACGAGGUACUCCUCCACCGCGAAGCUAGGGUUCGGGGAGACGGCGGGCGCGGCGGCGGAGAAGAGGCGGCGGAGGUGGGAGGCGGGAGACGCGGAGGGAGAUGAGAGGAGCUGGGUGAGGAGGCAGCACCGGAGCCGGAGCAUGGCGGCGGCGGCGGCGGCGGCGAGGGAAUGGGGAAAGCGCGGUGGAGUGAUUUGCGUGGGUGUGAUCUGUUCUGAUCUGGUUCGACCCAACCUAGGUGAGCUCCUUUCCCUCGAAAAAUUAAAGAAAAGAAAAACAGGUGGGCUCCCACCCGUCAGUCUCAUGCCACGUCAUGUUUUAUUGCUUCUUUCUUUUUAUCGCUUCGUUCCAGAAGAAUGAGGAAAAAUAAGUUGGAGAAUGUAACAACAUGAUAAAUAUGACAAGGAGAUUAUCGAGUUCAGAAUACUCCAACAUCCAAGUUCAUAAUCGAAACUCGUCAAAUGAAUCAAAAUUACGGAUACUGACACAUUCACCUUUAAAAAAUAGUGUGGAUAAUAUAGAGGAAUCACUGGGUACCGAUAAAUUAUUUCCAGCAACAGCGAGAAACAUGAUAGUAGGAGGGACGGGCCUUGUCACAUCUUUGUGCAUAUAAAUUGGAUCUCUCGAAUGCCUAUGGUCGUGUCGGUUGAGACUUUUUGGAAGGUGCUUUAGUUAAAUGGGGUUUUUCCGCACGGUGGAUUUCUCUUGUUACGGCUUGUGUGAGAUCUGUAAAGUAUUCAGUAAAAAUCAAUUUGAAGAUAUUGAAUUCCUUCAUACCUACAAGGGGUCUUCGUCAAGGUGAUCCCUUGUCACCUUUCUUAUUCCUAUUGGUUGCUGAUGCCUUAUCUGCUUUGGUACAAAAGUCUGUGGAGAAGGAGGGCUUCAAGGGUGUGGCAAUAUGUCGAAGGGCGCCCACUAUCACCCAUUUAUUAUUUGCAGAUGAUUCCCUUUUAUUUUUUGAAGCCUCACAACAUCAUGCAAUGUUGGUUAUAGGUUUGUUGAACACUUAUUCUUCAUCGACAGGGAAACUCAUAAACCCAUCAAAGUGUUUCAUCCUCUUUUCUGACAUUGUCCUGGUGCGGUGGUGGAGGACGUGAGAGGAAUUCUUGACAAAUCUCAACAAGUGUUUGACCCCAAAUAUUUGGGACUACCGGUUCCAGAUGGGAUAAUGAAUAAAGGUAUGUUUGAAAUAGUUCGGGCGAGUCUAAGGGUCUGUUUGGUUCUAAUAAGUCACCUGACUUAUAAGUCAGGUGACUUAAAACCAGUGACUUAUAAGUCACGCCUGUUUGGUUGUCACCUGACUUAUAAGUCAUCUGACCACACCUUUCCAUCUUGUUUUUUUAUGUAAAGGUGGGACCCACGCAAAAGGAGGUGACUUAUAAGUUUUAAGUUGGGGUGUAGCAACUUAUGACUUGUAAGUUGGGUCUGUUUGGCAAAAUAAGUCACUUUUUUCGCUUUUUGACUUAUAAGUUGGUGACUUAUUUGAAACCAAACAGACCCUAAGCAAGAGGCUAGUUGACUGGAGUGAGCAAUACAUGUCAGUUGGCAACAAGGAGAUAUUAAUUAAAGCAGUUGCGCAGCCUAUCCCCACACAUGUAAUAGUGUGUUCUAGUUGCCGGCAUCGGUUUUGUGAUGAUCUCACACGAACGAUGCAGCAGUAUUGGUGGGGGUGGAAAAAGGGAAAAGAAAGAUUGUCAUCCUCCUCAGGAUACUCCAACUCUGAGUCGGUCUCUGAGGGUUCCUUCGACCCUUCCAUGACCUCAAUAAAGUUAGUGUCGUCGGAAGUGUAGGGGGCAGGAGGGCUACGUCAGCGCACCUGAACCCUCGCUUGACAUUCGUGGAAGUCAUGGCAAAAGAAUAUUUGAUGCUCCAAAAAUGCUAGUUUUGAAAACAUUUUGGAGCUUUGAUUUUGUUAUUUUGCUAUCACUUCCACAAAAGUUAUUUCAUGUUGAAAUUUGUCAAGCAUACAAAACAUUUGUCAAAGUUAAAAAAAAAAGAUUUGUGGUAGAUCUUUUUUAUUAUUUUUAUUUUACUGUUCACCAAUGAGCAUUUGAGCUCGGGAUCAGAAAAGGAGUUUUGGUUUCAUUAUUUCUUCAUGAUAAAAAAAUGUGAGCAUGUACCGCUGAUCUCUGUUUUGUGAUGAAAUGUACCCAAUUACAGUGAGUAAAAUAGGAGAGUUUUACAUAACCAGGCAGCGGCAACAGAAAAGUAAAUUAUCUGAACAAAUAUUUAGAGUCGAGCCCGUCACAGACAACGCAAGAUUUUGUUUAUCCAACGGCCAACACACUCCCAUCUAAUGUAAAUUAUUUGAACAUAUAUUGGGUGCCAUCUUCUCAGCUCAACAUUUGCUAGUUAAUCAAACUGCUCUUCCAUCUCCACGUAGCUCUCAAUAAUCCGCAAGCAAAUCAAAAUCAAAUUGAAAAUCGAAAACUUUGGAAGUCUGGCUGGCUGACUGACUGCAAUGUGCCCUGGACUGAAGCUGAUCCUCCGCCUCGUUUUAGGCGUCAUGCGUCUGCAUCCAGUUUCAGAUCAUCUUCUCCUGGCAGAAAGGAAGAAACAUCCACAUUCAGCAAAUCGAAAACUUUUGAGUAAGCACACUGAACAAAUAUACAUACCCAGCGACCGCUUGCUCUAUAGCCUAUCGAGAUGAUAAACUAAGAUGCUACUGCUACCCCAUGAGACACAUCUUUAUCUUCAUUUCAGACAGUGUAAAAUCCACAAAGUAGUACUGGCGGUGGGGGACACUUGGCUAAAUAUGCCAAUGACACAGAAUAUAAUUUGAGAUACUAGUGGCACUGGGUAUAAGCCAAGUCUGUAAUCUUCUAAAUCCUUGAGAGGAACCAUUUUAAAUUGUAGCCUAAAUGAGGACCGUAAAACAGGUUGAAACCAGUAGCCGGUAGUUGCAGGUAAUAGUUCAGUUCAGAAACCAGUAUAGUUCGGUGGAGGGGAAAUGUAGAAUCAGAACCUAUGAUAUGGCCAGGCAAUAAUACCAAACAUAAUAAUUAUUAAAAAAACAAGUCUAAUGCAUCCGUCAUAACCGUUCAGAAAUGGUAAUCAUAUCAAAAGUAUUAGUUUGCUUGCACUAUAUGACAUCAUCACAACACAAGGGUGGUUAAGUCAAACAUGCAUUAUGGGCAUCUUCCUUGGGCAACCUGGUGCAUGUAGCUCCCGCUUGCGCAGGGUCCAGGGAAGGGUCCGACCACUUUGGGUCUAUAGUACGCAGCCUUUCCCUACAUUUCUGUAAGAGGCUGUUUCCAGGACUUGAACCCAUGACCUCAUGGUCACAAGGCAGCAGCUUUACCACUGCGCCAAGGCUCCCCUUCAUUAUGGGCAUCUUCCUUCUGAUGAAAAUUCUGAAUGAAUAAUUAUAGCAAAGGGGAACAAGCUUACAGGCACACAAUAGAACAGUAAUAUAAGUACAACUACGACUGCAACAAAAUGAAGCAUGAAACAAAGAAAGUACCUGUUGUGAUGAGUCAGACCCAAAAGGUGCGAGUACUUUCCCCUUUCGCUGACACAGUAUCUUCAACAGGGAGAUAAGCAACUUGUGGUAUUCACUCGUGGAAGAUUCAUACCAUGUAGUCAUCUCAUCGAGCCCCUUUGUUUACAUUCUUUGAUGCAACACUUCCACCAACAAGAGUACCAGGAAGUAACUAAGUGCACUACUGUCAGUGGUCCUUGAAGCAAAUAAAGAGAAAAGGCUAACGAAAGUGUUAACUGCAACGACAACCUGAUAACUCCAAUAGUUGUUUACACUGUAUGUGUGGAUACAUUGGGUCUUGCUUGUGUGGCAUAAAAUGGACCCAGUGGCUCUCGAACUUCAGUCCUAACAGUCAUCUAGAUAUAUAAUACAUUUAACAUUAUAAUUAAUAUUGUGAAGGAAACAACAUGGCCUAUCUUUUUGUGCUUGAUAAAGCUUAAGUAAUACAAGGCUUUCAAAAGGUGAUAAAUUUUUUGAAGUAGCUGUAAAACUGCCAAGUAUUUUCAUAACGCGAACACCAUUAUUCAAUUUUGAGAUCAGAUGUCCCUAGAAAAAGUACAAGCCAAUAGGCCAUCCAAAAAACAUAGAGCGAGAAAGCAAAAGCUGAUACAAAGUACUAGUAGUAAACAAUGACCUGCUUUCUUGUACAGUAAGUAUCUUAUAAACAGAGCAACUGCAGGGAAACGAAGGCUUUCAGCUUAGAAGAACUAAGAGGAAGGAACCAACAAACUAGUUCAAAACUACAUCCUCGGCAGUGGCCAUCAACAACUCCACAAUUGUUUCAGCUAUCCAAAGGGAAAUUUUGAGACUUCAAUUAAUAAUGACCAAAAUGAGAACAUUUUUCAUGGAUAGGUAGUCAAGGAUUGAGGGCAGGCCUGGCGCAGUGGUGAAGUCCUCCCCACUUGUGCCAAGAGGUCCUGGGUUCGAACCAGCCUCUCUGCAUUGCACUUUGCAGGGGUAAGACUAGGUUCCUAUAAUCCCUCCCCAGACCCCACCUUGUGUGGGAGCUUCUAUGCACUGGGUCUGUCCUUUAGGUAGUCAAGGAUUGCACUGAAAACUGCAAUGGUCAUUUGAGAACAUAAUGAUGGAGUAUGCAGACAUACUCUAUCUCUGAUAUUUGAAACCAUUUGCAGAAAUGCCCUGAUCUCACACACUCUUGGUUCCAUUAUGUGUGCCAAUAUGAUAUGAGGAUGGACAUGUUCACCAUAGUGCGAUGCUUCCUUCUCUACUGGAAUGGUGUGAUAGACAUACAAAGAAGUCACAAUCAAAUUAUCAGUUUCAUAUGGAAUUAGCGACACUAAAUUGACAUGUACCAGACAUACUAGAGCAGACAACAAACAUCCAAUUAGGCAAAUAACACCGAAACAGAAAUUACUAGCUGACUGCACAGAGCAUAAACUCUGCUGCGUCAUACACAGUCACCAAUUCUCAUAGCCCGCUCUUGGUUUAUGUAAAUCUGAAACUGGAAGGCACUUCCCCUCUGCAAGCUGCUGCAUAGUCUUCAGCAAGGUGUGGUGCAGCUUCCUUGUGAGGGCAUAUGAACUUCUCCACAAAUUCUUUCUCGCUGAUCAUGACUGCUCUAUAAUAGUCCCGG
rnacentral:lncRNA from 1 species